UACAGAGGGUGCAAGCGUUGUUCGGAAUUACUGGGCGUAAAGGGCUCGUAGGCGGCCAACUAAGUCAGACGUGAAAUCCCUCGGCUUAACCGGGGAACUGCGUCUGAUACUGGAUGGCUUGAGUUCGGGAGAGGGAUGCGGAAUUCCAGGUGUAGCGGUGAAAUGCGUAGAUAUCUGGAGGAACACCGGUGGCGAAGGCGGCAUCCUGGACCGACACUGACACUGAGGAGCGAAAGCCAGGGGAGCAAACGGG
rnacentral:rRNA from 1 species